AAUAUAUACAUAUAAUCGGCUGCGGGCGAGCGGGGGUCGGCUUGCGUCGCACGACCCUUUGCCUUUGCCGGUGAACAGAACAGAGUAGGCCUCGCACGUCAAUGGCAGGUGCACCACCAAAACCGUGGGAACGUGCUGGGGCUGAGGGAACAUCCGGUCCGUUGCCUUUCAAACCCCCAUCUGGUGGCAGCACUAGUGAUGUCGUCGAAGCUUCUGGUACAGCUAAACCUGGAGAAACCAUUGCUGCUACAGAGAGGAACAUGUCUGCCAAUGUAAAUAACCCCAUCUCGAGGCCUAUGCCCCAACGUCCUUGGCAGCAAACAGGCUAUGGAAAUUCUUAUGGAGGAACAGGAUACGGAUCCAAUAUGUAUAGUUCGGCUGGUGGAUAUGGCAGUACUUAUGGUAGCGGCGGGGGGCUCUAUGGGAAUAGCAUGUACUCCAGCUAUGGAGGAGGUGGCGGCCUCUAUGGAGGUUCCGGGAUGUAUGGAGGAGGCAUGUAUAACAGUGGGAUGGGAGGCUCUUAUGGUGGUUAUGGUAUGGGCGGCAUGGGUGGCAUGGGUGGUAUGGGCGGCAUGGGUGGAAUGGGCGGUAUGGGUGGUAUGGGCCCUUACGGCAAUCCGGAUCCAAAUUCAUUUGGCCCUCCUGCUGCACCACCGGGUUUCUGGGUGUCCUUCCUACGUGUGAUGCAUGGUGCCGUCAGUUUCUUUGGGCGAGUUGCAUUUCUCGUUGAACAAAACACACAAGCCUUCUAUUUAUUCAUUACAGCUAUGUUGCAGCUUUUUGAUCGGUCUGGGAUGCUUUACGGUGAGCUUGCGAGAUUUGUCUUGCGCCUGAUAGGAGUGCGAACAAAGUCAAAGAAAGGCCGUGUUCAGGGCACUGAGGCCCCUGCAUUAGAGGGACCUGGCCAGCAGCUUUUUGAGACACCAAAAGCCAACAACAACUCAUGGGACAAUGUUUGGGGAAACUAAGACGCCUUGCCCUUAUAUGUGCUGUUGAACUAAUAGAAACAUACGGUUAGCAAAGGAAAGAUUGCCAAAGCAUGUAUGUCAGCAACCAUCAAUCAGAAAGCGAAGAAGAGUAUCCAGUCGGAGAAAUUGUCUGUUGCAGUUAGCGAAAGAACACAAGGGCUGCUCUUUCUGAUUUUCAUGGCUUAAUCUGCUGUGAGCCUAAUGAUGGCCAGUUUGCUUUGCUGGAGGAUGCAGUGUUAUUGAAGUAUUUUUGUUGUUUGUAUGUAUGUGGAGGGUAAAUAAUAGUACCUGUUAUCUUGAAAAGAACGGAGCAAAAUGUAUUGUGUUCCCUAUUUGUUAGUUUGAUUUUCAACUGAAGGUGGCCUUGAAGAUAUAAUGAAGUGCAAACAUUUAAUCUU